rnacentral:piRNA from 1 species
ACGUCCUUUUUCUUGCGCGCGCCCAACC